rnacentral:rRNA from 1 species
CCUACGGGAGGCUGCAGUCGUGAAUCAUUCACAAUGGGGGAAACCCUGAUGGUGCGACGCCGCGUGGGGGAAUGAAGGUCUUCGGAUUGUAAACCCCUGUCAUGUGGGAGCAAAUUAAAAAGAUAGUACCACAAGAGGAAGAGACGGCUAACUCUGUGCCAGCAGCCGCGGUAAUACAGAGGUCUCAAGCGUUGUUCGGAAUCACUGGGCGUAAAGCGUGCGUAGGCUGUUUCGUAAGUCGUGUGUGAAAGGCGCGGGCUCAACCCGCGGACGGCACAUGAUACUGCGAGACUAGAGUAGUGGAGGGGGAACCGGAAUUCUCGGUGUAGCAGUGAAAUGCGUAGAUAUCGAGAGGAACACUCGUGGCGAAGGCGGGUUCCUGGACAUUAACUGACGCUGAGGCACGAAGGCUAGGGGAGCGAAAGGGAUUAGAUACCCCAGUAGUC